UACGGGGGGGGCAAGCGUUGUUCGGAAUUACUGGGCGUAAAGGGCUCGUAGGUGGCCAACUAAGUCAUACGUGAAAUCCCUCAGCUUAACUGGGGAACUGCGUCUGAUACUGGAUGGCUUGAGUUUGGGAGAGGGAUGCGGAAUUCCCGGUGUAGUGGUGGAAUGCGUAGAUAUCGGGAGGAACACCAGUGGCGAAGGCGGUUGCCUGGAGCUUUGCUGACGCUGAUGCGCGAAAGCGUGGGGAGCGAUCCGG
rnacentral:rRNA from 1 species